rnacentral:rRNA from 1 species
GACGAACCGAGCGAACGUUAUUCGGAAUCACUGGGCUUAAAGGGUGCGUAGGCGGGCUGUCAAGUCUGGGGUGAAAUCUCAUCGCUUAACGGUGAGACUGCCUUAGAUACUGCCAGUCUUGAAUUAGGGAGAGGUUCGUGGAAUUCCGAGUGUAGCAGUGAAAUGUGUAGAUAUUCGGAAGAACACCAGUGGCGAAGGCAGCGAACUGGCCCUUAAUUGACGCUCAGGCACGAAAGCAUGGGGAUCAAACAGG